AAUCAAUUCCAACUACAAAAUUGAACAUAAAACGAUUCAGCUGAGAAUCACCAUAGCAAACAAGCAAGAGAGAUAGGACUCAUUUAUCACAAAAAAGAAAUGAGCUCUGAAGAAGCAAAGUGAAGCAUCAAUGGAGCUCUGAUGGCCAUGAAACCGAAAACCGACGACCCGAAGCUUUCUCCCGAGUCCACCACUUCACCUCCCAAGAAAGUCAUCAUCAAAAGCGCCGACAUGAAGGAAGAACAGCAAAAAGAAGCUGUCAAUAUAGCCAUCUCCGCAUUUGAGAAGAACAAUGUUGAGAAAUAUGUAGCAGAGCGCAUAAAGAAGGAAUUCGAUAAGAGACACGGACCUACUUGGCAUUGCAUCAUUGGUCGCAAUUUUGGUAACCCAAUUUUCAAUUUGAUCUACAAAUUUCAAUUUCAAUAUUAAGUGUUUUCUGCAAUUUAAUUUCUUUUUAAGUGACUUUGAAUGUACACUAGCUUUCAUAGAUGUUGGUUACUUAGUCGGAAUUGGAUUGUAAUGUUGUUCUAGCUUUUUCAUGGAAUUUCUGGGUUAAGAUCAUCAAGUAUUUUUGGUUAGAUUGAUUGCUUUUAGAUGAAAGGCUCAAACUUUAUCCGGGUUUUCGAUGAAGGAUUAGUAACUUUAUAGGUUCGAUCAAGCGUUUUCAGCUUUACUGAUGACACUUUAAACAAUUUCUUAAUGUUAAUCCGUACGCAGUUCAUGCCGUUUUUGUAGUUUGUGAUUGUAUUUCAGUAGAAGGAGUUUCGUAUCAGUGUGAGUAUGUCCGUUAGCUGUGCUUGGAUUUCUUUAGAUAGGCUAUUUGAUACCUCCAACGGUCGUGUGAUGACAGGAUUAGACUUCAAUUUCCGAUUGCAUAUCCGAUGGGAUAUAUGUUUUUCUAUUGAAUAAGAAAGUUGUUAGAGCUUGGAACUUUCAGGUUUUAGAAGUCUCGAGCUCAAAACUUCGGGUUUGAGAAACGGAGGUGAAAUGCAUAUUGCAUGCGUAUGAAGCAUAUAACAAUACACUAUUAGAGAAUUUCAAGAACUUUGCUCAUUUGAUGUCAAUAUGAUUUAUAUCGGCAUUCACUCUCUUUAUUGUAUACUUUUAUUACCUCUUGAUAUCGACCAUCGUUGUUCGCUAAGGCCUUGGGGUUUGUUGGUAGUUUAACCGAGUUAUUCUCUCUUGAGCAUGACCCUCUAGCAUACAUGAGACAAUUGUAGUCUGCAAUGCCAGUUGGUGAACUCGUGAACUGCCGAUACUAUAAGGUUCAUACGUAACUCAUGAGACGAACCACUUUGUUUAUUUCUACUUAGAUCAGAAAGCAGUUUUGCUCUUCAAAUCUGGUUAAAUCAUGCUGUUAUGUUGACGAAAGAGUGGCAUUGGUCGUAUAAUCGCUAGAUGAAAAGCCUUUUACUUAUACUGGUUACGGUUUUAGCAACUGUAGCCUAACUUGUAUAUUUCAUUACAUCUAAGUCGGGUUUGAAUCAUUGUUCUCAAAUCUAGUAUUUCGCUUACUGGUUUCA